rnacentral:rRNA from 1 species
CUUGAAGCAGUUUCGGCUGUGGAUGGUGGCGGACGGGUGAGUAACGCGUAAAUAACUUGCCCUUUAGACUGGGACAACUGUUGGAAACGACAGCUAAUACCGGAUAUUAUGAAACCUUGGCAUCAAGGGGUUAUGAAAGCUAUAUGCGCUAGAGGAGAGAUUUGCGUCCUAUUAGCUAGUUGGUGAGGUAAUGGCUCACCAAGGCGACGAUAGGUAGCCGGCCUGAGAGGGUGAACGGCCACAAGGGGACUGAGACACGGCCCUUACUCCUACGGGAGGCAGCAGUGGGGAAUAUUGGACAAUGGACCAAGAGUCUGAUCCAGCAAUUCUGUGUGUUUGAUGAAGGCCUUCGGGUUGUAAAGAACUUUAAGUAGGGAAGAAGAAAGUGACGGUACCUACAGAAUAAGCGACGGCUAAAUACGUGCCAGCAGCCGCGGUAAUACGUAUGUCGCAAGCGUUAUCCGGAAUUAUUGGGCAUAAAGCGCGUCUAGGCGGUUUAUUAAGUCUGAUGUGAAAAUGCGGGGCUCAACUCCGUAUUGCGUUGGAAACUGGUAGACUAGAGUAUUGGAGAGGUAGGCGGAACUACAAGUGUAGAGGUGAAAUUCGUAGAUAUUUGUAGGAAGCCAAUUGGGAAGCCAGCUUACUGGACAAUACUGACGCUGAACGCGAAGCUA